CGCCCGCGGUGCCCUCCGCGCCGCACGCACUGCUCACGCUGCUCCGCGCUGCCCUCCCGCUGCGGGGCGGCCGGCAACACGCUCUCCGCUCCGCAGCCUCCUCCUGCCGGGUACCUAUCUGCGCUUAUUCAUCAGCGGGAUGACAAAUUUGCCGGGCGGGCGUCUGUCCCGUCCUCCCAGACAGCGGUGCGUCCUCAUCUCCGCAGCAGCUUGUCGGCGAGAAACAGUUGCAGCCCAGAGGUAUGUGCUAAGACUACCCACUGCUCUGCAGUCUCCUACAUGCAGAGGCAGCGCAGCCCAAGAAGUCUCCGAGCAGAGGAGCCCACCUGCAUGCAUGGGCACUGGAAGAGUGCAGCAGGCUCAGGCCCUUCAUCCAAAGCAAGAUCAGCCCAGCACUUAGGGAAGAUGCUAAUCCCAGUUCUCCAAAAAUGACCCUGGCACCGUGGCUGUCCUGAUUGCUUCUUCCAAGAAGGGGAGACUGUAUCCCUGCUGUGCUGCAAGAACCAUUGUGGAGGGUUGAGGAGGGUGGAUGCGUCUUGGUGUACCCAGAUUAUUUGGUUUCCUCAAGGCUAGCUUUGAUUUCCCUAGCUGAAUAAGCUUUUCCAAGCUAAAGUUCCUUUGCCAUUCACUCAUACUACGUCAAAUUAACGUGACCCUGAAGUUGAUAAAGAACACACAAUGUUGUCUUCUUACAUACCCACAAUUGUUUCCAUGUGUAUGGAUGCAGUGAAUCACUUCUAAAUAAAAAAUACUAUAUAUAGCAUAUUUAAAACAAAAGUGUUUGUAAGAUAUGCCUCACUUUAAAAAGGAUAUUACAAGAACUGACAAGUGAACAAGGGGCCUUUACUGUGCAAAAGCACGAAAUUUGCUUGUAAGUCCUGCGAGUUAAAAUAUCCAUUUUGUUUACUAUCUCUUUAUUGGUAGUAUAUGCCAGAAUUUUCUAUGCAAUUAUAUUUUAAUUGGAACUCAUCACUAAAAAUUUCCAGGUUUAUCCUUGGACUCACAUAGUAGCCAUUGUAAUGAUACUGGCAGACUGACGUUGCAAAUGAGUAAUACAGGUUUAGACAACAAAAAAGGCUCAUUAAAUUAAAAAGAAAAUUGUCAAAAUACCAAUUGAAUUUAACUCUGCCAAAGUGAUGAAAUAAACAAUGAAUUUUCUUUAAAUAAAUUAGUUUAAAUAAACAUUGACAGUGUUGUCAGAAACCAAAUCUGACACACAUUUUAAAAAAGCUAUUUAUUGAGUCAUCAUUAUCUAUGGGAAGCAAACUGCCUGAGUUCUUAAACUGAAAAAAGUGAUGGAUCCUAGCAAUGUACCACCUUGGCAAAGGUUUAAAACACAAGGUAAAAGCAGCCUUUAUGCACAGGAUAAGAGUUUUUACUGUCACGGUUGAAGAAUGCUGAGAAGUAUCUUGAGCAGGGAAUAAAGAGGACAAUGAAGAUAGCUCAUAUUACCAAAGUUAACUUUAGACACUGCAACUCACAUCUAAAGAUCGUCCUUAAUUUUUGAUGCACUGAAAAAGCAAGGGGAGUUUAUGCAAAACCAACCAGAUAAGACUAAUAAGUAUAUUAAAAGUGAGUAUACCCCAAGUUUUUUUAGUGGGUAACACCAUUGCAUAUUCAUAACCAUCAGUAUGAGCCUGUACUCAUUCCACACAUAAAGCAUCCAUCUUGAUGGUGAACAGGCUAUGCCUUAAUCCUUCAGAAAACUACUACUGUUUAUCAGAUUAAAUUUCUCUUUCUCUAUUGCAAAUUUGCUCCCCUCUAGCUAAAAGCAUGUACCUAAUGGAGGUAGUGGAUUCAGAAAAGGAUACAUUGAAGUUCCCUGUGUAGGAAUCCACAGCAACAACUGUGAACUAGACCUGAGGGUAAAAAUUGUAUUCUGUUACUUCAGUCCCAGUUACAUUUUCUUAGUUCCAUAAAAUAUUGUCAUUACCUCUUGAAGAAAUGUAUAGUUAUGUACUAUAUGAGGUUUCAGUGAAACUUUAAAUUAAGCUUUCAGAUUACAAACUGUCAAACACAGAAGCAUUUUUACAAACAUUUUUUUGAGGAAAAAAAUAUGCUUUCUCAUUUUUCUGCCUCCCCGUCCUGUCUCUCAUAGGCUUUUGGAAUAAGACAGUCUCCAACAGUUCCACUCCAUCUCUUUCUGGCCCGUUUCUGGUUGCGUUAUGCCAUUGGGUUUGUUGUCCAAAAGAGUUUUACUACCAGGCAUGCUGGAAAAGACACCUGCUCGUAUAAAUCCUUGUCUCCUUUGUCCUAGAGAAAGACCACCUUUCUGGGUGAGCCCUGAAAGGAGAUGGUGAGUGGCUAAAGAUGUCUUAAAAGAGCUCAUUCAAUGGGUAGAGAGAAGCUGCAUGAAGAUAACAUUAUUAUGGUAUUUUUGGAGGGGUUUUGAGUAUAGGAAUGACGCUCUGUGCAGUGAAGCAUAAUUUAUGGAAAGUCAAAUUAUUUCAUUCAGGAGCCAGAGGAAAGCUAUUGUAGCAGAGGGAACAGAGAAUGUGUAACUGUUUUUAGUGAAAAUUAAUUGCAAGGGAGUUUCAGGUUGCUACAAUGUACCUGAAGAAGCUGGAAAUAAGACUGGUGAGUGGAAUAAAUUUUCCAAAUUUCAUAAAAAUUUAAUCAGGGAGAAGACUUAAUAGCAGCAAUGCACUUUAGCUAACACAGUCAGAUAUAAAUAGUUAACUGACACUUUUCACUAGAUAUUUCAUGCACUGGGGUUCAGGUCACAAGGUGUAAACACCAUGGACAUCAACAAAUAGGUGAAGGGAACAGAGGGACUGCAUUUGCUUGGGAACCUCAGUCUUCAUGCCUCAACAGAGUCUGAAGUCCAGUUGAGUUUAAUGUGGUAAAUCAAACAUGCCUGUUUUCCAUUCAGA